rnacentral:rRNA from 1 species
UACGUAGGGUGCGAGCGUUAAUCGGAAUUACUGGGCGGAAAGCGUGCGCAGGCGGGAAUGCAAGACAGAUGUGAGAUCCCCGGGCUUAACCUGGGAACUGCAUUUGUGACUGCAUUGCUGGAGUGCGGCAGAGGGGGAUGGAAUUCCGCGUGUAGCAGUGAAAUGCGUAGAUAUGCGGAGGAACACCGAUGGCGAAGGCAAUCCCCUGGGCCUGCACUGACGCUCAUGCACGAAAGCGUGGGGAGCAAACAGG